AGUUCACGAGGAGACUCUGAUGGGGGAGGUGCUGCCGGUCGUCUCUCUGACCAGAAGGCCGCUGUUCUUGAAGUAUAUGAUGGAUCCAAUUGGCUGUUACUGUUGUGUUAAAGACCAGUUUUCUGCAUCACUGGUCGUCAGCGUGGGUAGUACAGCACCACCGUAUUUAUUGAGGAUGAUGACUUGAAGAUGGAGGAUCCACUCAAGAGUUUUCUCCUGGUGGAAUGACCCUUGCUGCACUGCACUGCACCAGAAACACCAGUCCAGAAAUGUUAUUCUGAACAUUGUGGUGGCUGCCCCCGGGCGGGCCGCUGCUGGAGACUGCCCCCCGGGCGGGCCGCUGCUGGAGACUGCCCCCCGGGCGGGCCGCUGCCUC